GAUUCAAGAUUCAAGAUGUUUUAUUUGUCACAUACACACACAGGGUGUGCAGUGAAAUGAAAGUGGCAAUGCUCAGCAGGAAUGUGCAAGGGCAACAAGUACACACUAUUUACAAUAAAAAACAACACAAUAUUUACAGUAAGUGUGUGUGUGUGUGUGUGUGUGUGUGCCUAAGAGGCAGUUGUGUGGGUCUAUGUGGGGGUCCUGGUGAGGUCGGAGUUCACAGUCCUGAUGGCCUGAGGAAAGAAACUCCGUCUCAGUCUCUCUGUUCUUGCAGCGUGACUACGGAGGCGCCUGCCUGACCGCAGCAGCUGAAACAGUCUGUUGUUGGGGUGGUGAGGAUCCUUCAUGAUCCUGCCGGCUCUGGUUCUGCACCUCCUGGUGUACAAGUCCUGCAGGGUGGGAGUGUAGUUCCAAUAGUGCGCUCAGCCGAACGCACUACUCUCUGCAGAGCCUUCCUGUCCUGAGCGGAGCAGUUGCCAAACCAGGCUGUGAUGCUUCCUGUCAGGACGCUCUCUACAGCUCCAGAGUAGAAGGACUGAAGGAUCCUCUGGGAAACUUUAAAUUUCCUCAGCUGCCUGAGGUGGUAGAGGCGCUGCCUUGCCUUUCUCACCAGAGUGUCUGUGUUUGUUGACCAUGUCAGAUCCUCGGUGAUGUGGACUCCCAGGUAUUUAUACCCGCUCACCCUCUCCACAGUAGUCCCGUUAAUCCCCAGUGGGCCACAGGUGAUCUCCUGAAGAAGAAUGGAUGAAAACAUGAAGGUAGAGGAGACCAGAGGCAGAGGAGUAUUUUGUUGUCCUUUUUUAUUUACACUUUUCUUUCUCUUUUUGUUAACUGUAGCGUCUAUUUUCUAUUGUUUGUUCUGUGAAAAAAUUUGAAAAAAGAAAGAAACAUUUUUGUUGUGUUGUUUUAUAUUUUGAGUUAAACCAUUAUACAUUUACAAUAUUUUACAACAGGAGAAAGCGUCCAGACCACUGGGCAUGGACUGGCAUCAUGCUCCUGAUAAGGCCUUCAUACUGCCGUCUGGAGGCUUCACCUGGUGGAGCGACCACUCGUCCUCCAGCUGGACUGAAGCCCGUCUGCGCUGUGAUUGGUCCCCUGGGCCUGCCAAUCAAGCCGGUGAAGUCAGCUGGAUUCUCCUUCCUGACGAAGAAGAGGAAGCAAGAUGGAGACGGACUGAAACCAAGAUGGAGACGGACUGGAACCAAGAUGGAGACGGAC